rnacentral:rRNA from 1 species
CCUACGGGAGGCAGCAGUAGGGAAUCUUCCGCAAUGGACGAAAGUCUGACGGAGCAACGCCGCGUGAGUGAAGAAGGUUUUCGGAUCGUAAAACUCUGUUGUAAGGGAAGAACAAGUACGUUAGUAACUGAACGUACCUUGACGGUACCUUACCAGAAAGCCACGGCUAACUACGUGCCAGCAGCCGCGGUAAUACGUAGGUGGCAAGCGUUAUCCGGAAUUAUUGGGCGUAAAGCGCGCGUAGGCGGUCUCUUAAGUCUGAUGUGAAAGCCCCCGGCUCAACCGGGGAGGGUCAUUGGAAACUGGGAGACUUGAGUGCAGAAGAGGAGAGUGGAAUUCCAUGUGUAGCGGUGAAAUGCGCAGAGAUAUGGAGGAACACCAGUGGCGAAGGCGGCUCUCUGGUCUGUAACUGACGCUGAGGUGCGAAAGCGUGGGGAUCAAACAGGAUUAGAUACCCUGGUAGUCCACGCCGUAAACGAUGAGUGCUAAGUGUUGGGGGGUUUCCGCCCCUCAGUGCUGCAGCUAACGCAUUAAGCACUCCGCCUGGGGAGUACGGUCGCAAGACUGAAACUCAAAGGAAUGA